rnacentral:rRNA from 1 species
UACGUAGGGGGCAAGCGUUGUCCGGAUUCAUUGGACGUAAAGAGCGUGUAGGCGGCCAGGUAGGUCGGUUGUGAAAACUGGAGGCUCAACCUUCAGAGGUCGACCGAAACCAUCUGGCUAGAGUCCGGGAGAGGAGAGUGGAAUUCCUGGUGUAGCGGUGAAAUGCGCAGAUAUCAGGAAGAACACCCGUGGCGAAAGCGGCUCUCUGGAACGGUACUGACGCUGAGACGCGAAAGCGUGGGGAGCGAACAGG